UGGCUGCCACAUGUUUCCUCUCUCUUCUUACAAUGCUUUCUCCUCCAGGCUAUCUACCCUGCUCAUUAUAAACCCAUCCAUCAACCCAAGCCCAGGAAGACAAUAGUUGAAGAGCAGUUGGAAAGGGAGGGAUUGAGUGAUGGCCGGUUUCUAGAUCAGAGUCAACACUGCGAAACACUUUGCAAGAUGGCAUGCUCUUGGCAGCUACAGAAGCAAGAAAUUGGCUAUAAACCCCUGAAAAUGGGAGCAAGGACUCUUCUAUUUGAAACAGUAAGAUAUCCAGGUCCCCAGACUGUCAGAGUGUGGACCACAUCCAUGCUCUGUCCAGGCCCUCAGAGUGCAAACACCUUGGGGAAGAAGCUCCAUUUUGUGCCAUUUCCUUCUUCACAUCUGUCAGCCUCCCACAAAGCUCUGCUCAGAGAAGGUGCUCAGAAAAUGUAGGCUAAUUCACAAUAGCCAAGCUAUGGAACCAACCUACAAGCCCAUCAACAGAUGAAUGAAUGAAUGAAUGAAUGAAUGAAUGAAUGAAUGAAGAAAUUGUCGUGUAUCACUCAGCUAUAAAGAAGAAUCAUUUUAUGACAUUUGCUGGUAAAUGGAUGGAUCUGGAGACUAUCGUGCUAAGUGAAAUAAGCCAAUUCCCAAAACCCAAAGGUUGAAUGUCCUCUCUGAUAUGUGGAUGUUAACCCACAAAAAAGAGAGUGAGGAGAUUAGAAGUUCAAUGGAUUGGACAAAAGGGAAUGAAGGAAAGCGAGGGACAGGAAUAGGAAAGACAGUAGAAUGAACCUGACAUAACUUUCCCGUGUACAUGUAAGAACACACAAGAGUGUAAUCUCAACAUUGUCUACACCCACAAGACUGGGAUCUAAUUAGAAUAAGAUAUAUUCCAUGUUUGUAUAAAUAUAUCAAAAUAGAUUCUACUGUCAUAUGUAACUAAAAGAACAAAUAAAAAAUAAAAUGUUGGCUG
rnacentral:lncRNA from 1 species